GAUGAACGCUGGCGGCGUGCCUAACACAUGCAAGUCGAACGAAGCUCCUGCGACAGAUUCCUUCGGGAUGAAGAUGCUUGAGACUUAGUGGCGGACGGGUGAGUAACGCGUGGGUAACCUGCCCUGUACUGGGGGACAACAGUUAGAAAUGACUGCUAAUACCGCAUAAGCCUACGGAGUCGCAUGACUCAGCAGGAAAAAUUCCGGUGGUACAGGAUGGGCCCGCGUCUGAUUAGCUAGUUGGUGAGGUAAUGGCUCACCAAGGCGACGAUCAGUAGCCGGCUUGAGAGAGUGAACGGCCACAUUGGGACUGAGACACGGCCCAAACUCCUACGGGAGGCAGCAGUGGGGAAUAUUGCACAGUGGGGGAAACCCUGAUGCAGCAACGCCGCGUGAGUGAAGAAGUAUUUCGGUAUGUAAAGCUCUAUCGGCAGGGAAAAAAAUGACGGUACCUGACUAAGAAGCACCGGCUAAAUACGUGCCAGCCGCCGCGGUAAUACGUAUGGGGGCAGCGUUAUCCCGGAUUUACGGGGUGGAAAGGGAGGGGAGGGGGUUUGGCAAGUUUGAUGUGAAAAUUCCGGGGCUCAACUCCGGAACUGCAUUGGAAAACUUUCAGACUAGAGUGUCGGAGAGGUAAGUGGAAUUCUUAGUGUAGCGGUGAAAUGCGUAGAUAUUAGGAGGAACACCAGUGGCGAAGGCGGCUUACUGGACGAUAACUGACGCUGAGGCUCGAAAGCGUGGGGAGCAAAACAGGAUUAGAUACCCUGGUAGUC
rnacentral:rRNA from 1 species